rnacentral:rRNA from 1 species
UCUUUCGGUCAUGUUAGUGGCAGACGGGUGCGUAACACGUGGGUGACCUGCCCUGGAGUGGGGAAUAACUAUCCUAACGGAUAGCUAAUACCGCAUAUGCUCGGUGAUUCAUUUUGCCGAGUAAAGCCGUAAGGUGCUCCAGGAUGGGCCUGCGGCGGAUUAGGUAGUUGGUGGGGUAAUGGCCUACCAAGCCGAUGAUCCGUAGGGGGCGUGAGAGCGUGGCCCCCCACACUGGCACUGAGAUACGGGCCAGACUCCUACGGGAGGCAGCAGUGAGGAAUAUUGCGCAAUGGGCGAAAGCCUGACGCAGCAACGCCGCGUGAGGGACGAAGGCCUUCGGGUUGUAAACCUCUUUUCUGGGG